ensembl:snRNA U6 U6 spliceosomal RNA
GUGCUCACUUUAGCAGAACAUAUACUAAAAACUAGGACAAUACAGAGGAGAUGAGUAUGGCCCCUGUGCAAGAAUGACAAGCAAAUUCACAAAGCAUUCCAAAUUCUU